rnacentral:sRNA from 1 species
AACCCUCGGAUUGUCCGAGGGUCCAAAUAAGCUUUAGCGGAGUGAUAAUGAAAAUCCUCCAUUGUAUAAUUAUAAUGCGGUCUGCCAACUGCAAAUAAAAAUACAAGGG